rnacentral:lncRNA from 1 species
GUCGGUACCGUCAGCGCGGUGCGAGGGCGCAGAAACCACACCGCAUCCCACGGGAUGCCCAGCGGCCACUCCAUGGAAAGGCACCUUUGGGCUGCAGAAAUGCUCCCUGAAGGAAUACAAAAGGGGAAGGUGUGAGACAAAUGCACACAUAGGAGCUGCCGGCCGGACCUUCCAGCCAGACGGCAUGAGAGCCGCGCGAGCAGUGCCGGCCCUUUCCUGACCGCAGCUGAACCCUGCCCUGCCGACCAGAGCCAGGUUUACAUAAGGACGUAAUCUCCUGCUCUGAACGACUUUUUUUGUGUUCAUACAAUGCAACAUUUCUGACAUCUUUGGGCUCCGGGAUUUGGAAAUCCUCUUGUUGAGGUCAGACCUCGAUUAAAAGCAGAGCCAAAGCCCUGGGACUGUUUUAGUUCAGCCGUGAGUUUGCAUCUUUAACUCAACAACUUCCAAUUGCGCUGGAAGUGGGGUUGGUGCGAUUGAUUCCAAACAUUGCUCUUUUGUUGGAAAAAUGAGUCCAAGACAAACGGGUGCAGAUGGUGGGAAACUGCUGGGGGUGCCACCAGGAGGUGUGCGUCACAGGCUGCAGAGCGGAGACGUUAUUUCUGUUCUUCUGAGCCAUUGGCGUAACCACAGAUUAAUCCAAAGGUCCUUUGAAUGCCGCUCCCUGUUGGCCAGGUCCUGCCCGCGUCUCCCCAGCGCCCGCCUUCCCUGUGGGCUGUGUGGAGCUGUAGAAGCACUGAGACACAGCCUGGUGCCAUCUAUUGGUGGCACACGCCGCCCUCACCCAGCGGCACCAUCCCCAGUUAGCACCUCGUGGUCAAGGAAUUAUUUGUAUGAAUCUCUUCCGAACCCCUUUCCGAGUGACCUUUGAAGCGGAAAGUUUCCAUUCCAGAAGUCCCUCCCGUCAAAUUUCGCGGGUAGCACUGUGAGUGCACACAGCACGAAGUGAAACAUAGGAAAGCCUCAUUAGAGCCACAGCAACCCCAGUGCAUCUCGGUAGUACUGAGCAGCCGUUCCACGAGGUGUUCGCAGGGCUCCUUGUGCUCCCCACAGCUCAUCGCCUGCCGCCCCGUUUCUGCUCCAAUCACACAGCUCAGCUGUAGUGGGUGCUGCAGCCUCGGGCCAGGGCAAGGCAGCGCUGCUCCUGCCCUUGUUCCAGGGCACUCCUUGGCUGCUGUUGGAACUUAAUGCUGCCGGGUCUGAAAGGCACAGAGCUGCACAACGGUGGAUAUAAAGGGGCUGUGCAGUAGGCACAAAGUUCCAGGACUGCCUCACCUGAACUGCGACUGGAAUGGAAUAUUACUGACCAAAGGCAAUCCACAGCUCUGUGGAUGUGCAGGGUGUGCUCACUGCUCACUGCACUCCGUAACCCCCUCAGUGCCAUGAGAGCUGGCUGCCUCCAGCUGCUUUGCACAGAAGCCUCUGAAGCAGCUGCACAGAACAGAAAUACUGUGUGAAAGCAGAUCUCACCUGGGCAGAAUCAUAGAAUCAUAGAAUCACCAAGGUUGGAAAAGACCCACAGGAUCACCCAGUCCAACCAUCCACCCAUCACCAAUUAUAGAAGCACACACCGAAGGCAGAAGCAGCACUGUCAGCCCUGAAACACAGGCAGAGAUCAGCCACUGAAAUGAGAGCUGCCUCCAAGCAGAAGAGAACCAGGGGCAGGCAGAAACCCAAGGCUGAGACAGGGAAGUGCAGAAACCUCAUUUAUGCCCAUGGCUUGAGGGCCGGUAUCCAGUCUGCAAAGGGAGAGCAUGUGCAGGGUAAUGCACCCUUGAAGCCAGAAUGGUUUUCCACUAUAAUCCCCGCAGAAGCCAGAACACAUCUCAUGGCUUUGGGGAAAAAACAACUUCAGGUACAGAAAGUACAGCCAAAGAGAGCCAAGCACAAACCCCACCCAAGGCCAGGUGUCCCACCUGGGCCCUGAGGCGCUGGCAACAACCAGCCUGCAGCAGGGGAGGGGCUGGGGGGCUCUGGGGUCCCUUCCGAGCCAACCGGGCUAUGGUUGUAUGGUUCUCCCCCAGAGGGCAGUGGGCAUGGCGCAGCUCCGCAUGGCACUGAGCACAGCCCAGCGCAGCCGGAGCUCAGGGAGCAUUGGAACACCACUCUCAGCCAUAGCAUUUCGGUUUUCAGUGGUCCAACGUGGGGCCAGGGGUUGGACUCGAUAGCUUCCUUGUAGGUCCCUUCCGACUCGAGAUGGUCUGCGGUUCUGUGAUUCUCCUCGGACACCUCGGGCUGCCCCGAGAGCUGCCUGCUGCUGCUCGCACGGAGCGGUGCCGCUCAGAACAGCCCUCAUCCCCUCGGCUCCUCGCACUUUGCCCGUGCUCCUCCCCC